GGGUUGUGAGGUUAAGCGACUAAGCGUACACGGUGGAUGCCCUGGCAGUCAGAGGCGAUGAAGGACGUGCUAAUCUGCGAUAAGCGUCGGUAAGGUGAUAUGAACCGUUAUAACCGGCGAUUUCCGAAUGGGGAAACCCAGUGUGAUUCGUCACACUAUCAUUAACUGAAUCCAUAGGUUAAUGAGGCGAACCGGGGGAACUGAAACAUCUAAGUACCCCGAGGAAAAGAAAUCAACCGAGAUUCCCCCAGUAGCGGCGAGCGAACGGGGAGCAGCCCAGAGCCUGAAUCAGUGUGUGUGUUAGUGGAAGCGUCUGGAAAGGCGCGCGAUACAGGGUGACAGCCCCGUACACAAAAAUGCACAUGCUGUGAGCUCGAUGAGUAGGGCGGGACACGUGGUAUCCUGUCUGAAUAUGGGGGGACCAUCCUCCAAGGCUAAAUACUCCUGACUGACCGAUAGUGAACCAGUACCGUGAGGGAAAGGCGAAAAGAACCCCGGCGAGGGGAGUGAAAAAGAACCUGAAACCGUGUACGUACAAGCAGUGGGAGCACGCUUAGGCGUGUGACUGCGUACCUUUUGUAUAAUGGGUCAGCGACUUAUAUUCUGUAGCAAGGUUAACCGAAUAGGGGAGCCGAAGGGAAACCGAGUCUUAACUGGGCGUUAAGUUGCAGGGUAUAGACCCGAAACCCGGUGAUCUAGCCAUGGGCAGGUUGAAGGUUGGGUAACACUAACUGGAGGACCGAACCGACUAAUGUUGAAAAAUUAGCGGAUGACUUGUGGCUGGGGGUGAAAGGCCAAUCAAACCGGGAGAUAGCUGGUUCUCCCCGAAAGCUAUUUAGGUAGCGCCUCGUGAAUUCAUCUCCGGGGGUAGAGCACUGUUUCGGCAAGGGGGUCAUCCCGACUUACCAACCCGAUGCAAACUGCGAAUACCGGAGAAUGUUAUCACGGGAGACACACGGCGGGUGCUAACGUCCGUCGUGAAGAGGGAAACAACCCAGACCGCCAGCUAAGGUCCCAAAGUCAUGGUUAAGUGGGAAACGAUGUGGGAAGGCCCAGACAGCCAGGAUGUUGGCUUAGAAGCAGCCAUCAUUUAAAGAAAGCGUAAUAGCUCACUGGUCGAGUCGGCCUGCGCGGAAGAUGUAACGGGGCUAAACCAUGCACCGAAGCUGCGGCAGCGACGCUGAUGCGUUGUUGGGUAGGGGAGCGUUCUGUAAGCCUGCGAAGGUGUGCUGUGAGGCAUGCUGGAGGUAUCAGAAGUGCGAAUGCUGACAUAAGUAACGAUAAAGCGGGUGAAAAGCCCGCUCGCCGGAAGACCAAGGGUUCCUGUCCAACGUUAAUCGGGGCAGGGUGAGUCGACCCCUAAGGCGAGGCCGAAAGGCGUAGUCGAUGGGAAACAGGUUAAUAUUCCUGUACUUGGUGUUACUGCGAAGGGGGGACGGAGAAGGCUAUGUUGGCCGGGCGACGGUUGUCCCGGUUUAAGCGUGUAGGCUGGUUUUCCAGGCAAAUCCGGAAAAUCAAGGCUGAGGCGUGAUGACGAGGCACUACGGUGCUGAAGCAACAAAUGCCCUGCUUCCAGGAAAAGCCUCUAAGCAUCAGGUAACAUCAAAUCGUACCCCAAACCGACACAGGUGGUCAGGUAGAGAAUACCAAGGCGCUUGAGAGAACUCGGGUGAAGGAACUAGGCAAAAUGGUGCCGUAACUUCGGGAGAAGGCACGCUGAUAUGUAGGUGAAGUCCCUCGCGGAUGGAGCUGAAAUCAGUCGAAGAUACCAGCUGGCUGCAACUGUUUAUUAAAAACACAGCACUGUGCAAACACGAAAGUGGACGUAUACGGUGUGACGCCUGCCCGGUGCCGGAAGGUUAAUUGAUGGGGUUAGCGCAAGCGAAGCUCUUGAUCGAAGCCCCGGUAAACGGCGGCCGUAACUAUAACGGUCCUAAGGUAGCGAAAUUCCUUGUCGGGUAAGUUCCGACCUGCACGAAUGGCGUAAUGAUGGCCAGGCUGUCUCCACCCGAGACUCAGUGAAAUUGAACUCGCUGUGAAGAUGCAGUGUACCCGCGGCAAGACGGAAAGACCCCGUGAACCUUUACUAUAGCUUGACACUGAACAUUGAGCCUUGAUGUGUAGGAUAGGUGGGAGGCUUUGAAGUGUGGACGCCAGUCUGCAUGGAGCCGACCUUGAAAUACCACCCUUUAAUGUUUGAUGUUCUAACGUGGACCCGUAAUCCGGGUUGCGGACAGUGUCUGGUGGGUAGUUUGACUGGGGCGGUCUCCUCCUAAAGAGUAACGGAGGAGCACGAAGGUUGGCUAAUCCUGGUCGGACAUCAGGAGGUUAGUGCAAUGGCAUAAGCCAGCUUGACUGCGAGCGUGACGGCGCGAGCAGGUGCGAAAGCAGGUCAUAGUGAUCCGGUGGUUCUGAAUGGAAGGGCCAUCGCUCAACGGAUAAAAGGUACUCCGGGGAUAACAGGCUGAUACCGCCCAAGAGUUCAUAUCGACGGCGGUGUUUGGCACCUCGAUGUCGGCUCAUCACAUCCUGGGGCUGAAGUAGGUCCCAAGGGUAUGGCUGUUCGCCAUUUAAAGUGGUACGCGAGCUGGGUUUAGAACGUCGUGAGACAGUUCGGUCCCUAUCUGCCGUGGGCGCUGGAGAAUUGAGGGGGGCUGCUCCUAGUACGAGAGGACCGGAGUGGACGCAUCACUGGUGUUCGGGUUGUCAUGCCAAUGGCACUGCCCGGUAGCUAAAUGCGGAAGAGAUAAGUGCUGAAAGCAUCUAAGCACGAAACUUGCCCCGAGAUGAGUUCUCCCUGACUCCUUGAGAGUCCUGAAGGAACGUUGAAGACGACGACGUUGAUAGGCCGGGUGUGUAAGCGCAGCGAUGCGUUGAGCUAACCGGUACUAAUGAACCGUGAGGCUUAACCUUACAACGCCGAAG
rnacentral:rRNA from 1 species